UACGUAGGUGGCAAGCGUUGUCCGGAAUUAUUGGGCGUAAAGCGCGCGCAGGUGGUUUCUUAAGUCUGAUGUGAAAGCCCACGGCUCAACCGUGGAGGGUCAUUGGAAACUGGGGAACUUGAGUGCAGAAGGGGAAAGUGGAAUUCCAAGUGUAGCGGUGAAAUGCGUAGAGAUUUGGAGGAACACCAGUGGCGAAGGCGACUUUCUGGUCUGUAACUGACACUGAGGCGCGAAAGCGUGGGGAGCGAACAGG
rnacentral:rRNA from 1 species